GCCCGGCUGGCUCAGUGGGUAGAGCGUGAGACUCUUGAUCUUGGGGUCAUGAGUUCAAGCCCCAUGUUGGGUA